rnacentral:rRNA from 1 species
ACGAACGCUGGCGGCGUGCUUAACACAUGCAAGUCGAGCGGUAAGGCCCUUUCGGGGGUACACGAGCGGCGAACGGGUGAGUAACACGUGGGUGACCUGCCCUCAGCUCUGGGAUAAGCCUGGGAAACCGGGUCUAAUACUGGAUAUGACUCCAUGACGCAUGUUGUGGGGUGGAAAGCCUUGUGCGGCUGAGGAUGGGCCCGCGGCCUAUCAGCUUGUUGGUGGGGUGANGGCCUACCAAGGCGACGACGGGUAGCCGGCCUGAGAGGGCGACCGGCCACACUGGGACUGAGACACGGCCCAGACUCCUACGGGAGGCAGCAGUGGGGAAUCUUGCGCAAUGGGCGAAAGCCUGACGCAGCGACGCCGCGUGAGGGAUGACGG